rnacentral:rRNA from 1 species
GGGGAAUCUUCCGCAAUGGGCGAAAGCCUGACGGAGCAAGACCGCGUGAGGGAGGAAGGCUCUUGGGUUGUAAACCUCUUUUCUUGGGGAAUAAAAAAAUGAAGGUACCCAAGGAAUCAGCAUCGGCUAACUCCGUGCCAGCAGCCGCGGUAAUACGGAGGAUGCAAGCGUUAUCCGGAAUUAUUGGGCGUAAAGCGUCCGCAGGUGGCACUUCAAGUCUGCUGUCAAAGACCGGGGCUUAACCCUGGAAAGGCAGUGGAAACUGAAGCGCUAGAGUGUCGUAGGGGUAGAGGGAAUUCCUGGUGUAGCGGUGAAAUGCGUAGAGAUCAGGAAGAACAUCGGUGGCGAAAGCGCUCUACUGGACGACAACUGACACUCAGGGACGAAAGCUAGGGGAGCGAAUGGGAUUAGAUACCCCAGUAGUCCUAGCCGUAAACGAUGGAUACUAGGUGUGGCUUGUAUCGACCCGAGCCGUGCCGUAGCUAACGCGUUAAGUAUCC